AUUGAACGCUGGCGGCAUGCCUUACACAUGCAAGUCGAACGGCAGCACGGGAGCAAUCCUGGUGGCGAGUGGCGAACGGGUGAGUAAAGUAUCGGAACGUGCCCAGUCGUGGGGGAUAACGUAGCGAAAGUUACGCUAAUACCGCAUACGAUCUAUGGAUGAAAGCGGGGGAUCGCAAGACCUCGCGCGAUUGGAGCGGCCGGUAUCAGAUUAGGUAGUUGGUGGGGUAAAGGCCCACCAAGCCGACGAUCUGUAGCUGGUCUGAGAGGACGGCCGGCCACACUGGGACUGAGACACGACCCAGACUCCUACGGGAGGCAGCAGUGGGGAAUUUUGGACAAUGGGCGAAAGCCUGAUUCAGCCAUGCCGCGUGCAGGAUGAAGGCCUUCGGGUUGUAAACUGCUUUUGUACGGAACGAAAAGGACUGCCCUAAUACGGUGGUCCCAUGACGGUACCGUAAGAAUAAGCACCGGCUAACUACGUGCCAGCAGCCGCCGUAAAAC
rnacentral:rRNA from 1 species